rnacentral:rRNA from 1 species
CAAGGCUUGACAUACACCGAAAACUCGUGGAGACACGGGGUCCGCAAGGGCGGUGUACAGGUGGUGCAUGGUUGUCGUCAGCUCGUGUCGUGAGAUGUUGGGUUAAGUCCCGCAACGAGCGCAACCCUCGUUCUAUGUUGCCAGCGCGUAAUGGCGGGGACUCGUAGGAGACUGCCGGUGCCAAACCGGAGGAAGGUGGGGACGAAGUCAAGUCAUCAUGCCCCUUACGUCCAGGGCUGCACACGUGCUACAAUGGCCGGUACAAAGGGCUGCAAACUCGCGAGAGUGAGCCAAUCCCAAAAAGCCGGUCUCAGUUCGGAUCGCAGUCUGCAACUCGACUGCGUGAAGUCGGAGUCGCUAGUAAUCGCAGAUCAGCAUUGCUGCGGUGAAUACGUUCCCG